AGGACCAAGUUUCCUCUGUGCAGAGGAAGAGUGCCCUCCUCCCCGGCGAUGCCUGCCUCUCCCGUCAGUCCUGCUGCUGCCCCUGCGGACACGGGAAAUGACAGCCCCCCAUCCACCAUGAUGCAUCUCUAUGACUGGGAGAAAUCAGCUAUUUCAAUCCUUCUCCACAUGGAACAGGCCUUAGAGCUGCCAUGCAUCAUCAGCCUGCCAAGCCUCUCUGCUGUUAAGAACGUUCUCUUCUUGUUUAUUUGUUGGUUGCUGGACUCCCUACACAACCUAGUGGACUUCAUUGCCCAGGAGGCAUCUUGUGCUCUGCUGGGCAGCUGACCCUCUCGUGGGCUGGGACCCAUCAGAACCUUUCCAAUGUCUCCACCCUGCAAGGUUCCCUCUGCCAGGGGAGCCUGAGAGUGGCCCCUCAGGGAGGCCCAGAAGCGGCCCUGCCACAGCACAUUUCUUUUGAAGUCUUAUGUUUUAUCUCAGGAAAUCAUGUGGAUUUUACGUUCCUUGCCAUUUCCAGAAUUCAUAUGUGUUUGUUUUCAUAUAAGCAUGUUUUAACCCUAAAUCUUCAAGUAAAAUUGAUGCCCCGGGAUGAUA